rnacentral:rRNA from 1 species
CCUACGGGAGGCAGCAGUGAGGAAUAUUGGUCAAUGGGCGCGCGCCUGAACCAGCCAAGUAGCGUGAAGGAUGACUGCCCUACGGGUUGUAAACUUCUUUUAUAAAGGAAUAAAGUCAGGCACGUGUGCCCGUUUGUAUGUACCUUAUGAAUAAGGAUCGGCUAACUCCGUGCCAGCAGCCGCGGUAAUACGGAGGAUCCGAGCGUUGACCGGAUUUAAUGGGUUUAAAGGGAGCGUAGAUGGGGUGUUAAGUCAGUGGGGAAAGUUUGCGGCUCAACCGUAAAAUUGCAAUUGAUCCUGGCAGUCUUGAGUGCAGGUGAGGUAGGCGGAAUGCGUGGUGUAGCGGUGAAAUGCUUAGAUAUCACGAAGAACUCCGAUUGCGAAGGCAGCUUACUAGACUGCAACUGACAUUGAUGCACGAAAGUGUGGGUAUCAAACAGGAUUAGAUACCCGGGUAGGC